rnacentral:misc_RNA from 1 species
UUUCUCUGUGAAACAUCACAUUAUUUUAAUGGCAAUAAUUUAUCAUACAAACAUGUGGCUGUAGCAUGAGUUAACAUGGAAAUCACUGGUCUUGUGAAGUAGUGCUGAAUAUACUAAAGAAUCCAUACAAUUUUAUGUCAUAUUUUGUAAAACUUGUAUCUUGUGUGUGUGUGUGUGUGUCAUAAAUAUAUUAUUAUAUACAAAGUAUCAAAAUGAAAGUUGAAAAAACAAUAAAAUUAGAUAUUCCUCUGAUUGAGGAUAUAAUAUUU